rnacentral:misc_RNA from 1 species
GUGAGUCAUCGAAUCUUUGAACGCACAUUGCGCCUCCCUUAACCGGGGGGCAUGCCUGUCUGAGCGUCAUUAAAACCUAUGGGCCCGACUGGGUUCCGUGUUGGGCCUCGCCUCUCUCUGAGCGGCGUCGCCUCGAAGUCAUCGGCCUCAUGGAGCGGACGGGAUCCUUUAUGGGCUGACCGUUCCAUGGCCGGAGUUUUUACUCUGACUUGACCUCAGAUCAGGUAGGGACACCGCCUGAACUUAAGCAUAUCAAUAAGCGGAGGA